GUACACAGAAAGUUGGGAUUUAAGAGGAAGAGCUGCACACAGUGCCACUGUGUGCCCACCAUGACCAGACACCCCGCUUCCUCUCCUGCCGUGACCCGGAGACGGCAGUCGGGCCCAUCUGUGCCACGUUGUGCUGUUGUUCCAGCAGACGGCUUCCCCCGUGACAUCACCACAGCCAGACGGUGAUGCAGCCUGCGGUACGGGACACGCUGACGCCGCGUCUGCUACUUCAUUCGCCGGGCGUCCAGUGGCUGUGUGGUGUGACGUGUUAUUCGUUCUUAUGGAGGAGAUGUGGAGCUCAGCGCUGAAGGACGAACCUGUUGAAGAGACGUGGCAGAGCAACAGGUGGCAGAUCACAGAGUUAGAGUGACACCUACAGAGCUCAGGGGGGAAAAACACCAGCCGCAACUCAGUGUGGGAUUUGGCCCUGGUGCCUUUAGAUGUUUCUGCAGGGACACUUCAUGAAUCGCCGCUUAUGAAUCCU
ensembl:lncRNA